UGACAGGGUUAGAUGGAGGAGACAUUUGUCCUAUUCAAUAAGGCCAAAGGAACAAUAGAUCCAUUGUCCCCCUUGCCUCGAAUGCCAAAGCAAUUCUUCAUAAGUGGGGAUUCUGGCUACUUGGUAAAGAGGAAGAACUGUCCACUGGAAGAGAGUCCGGCCUUCCCUUGGCACCAGGCUUCUUGGAAGACAUCCAAGACAGAUCUGCUUUGCUACUACAUUCUCCUCAGAACAGUGAAUAGCGUUCCCUGGAAUUUCAGGGUGUUAGCAUUGGCAGCGCCUUGAGGCAGGGAAGCUGUUCUAACGCUCUGGCACUGUUAUAAACAUGAGGUAACAGAAUGCCCGAAGCCAAUUAAUAUGCACACAUCUGCAGGCAGCUUUGAGAGAAAUUAAUGGUGAGAAUUUCAGUGGCUGCAGGUUUUCCAGAUUCAAAGGGAUGACAUGGUUUAUGAAAUGAGUCAUAAAAAUGCAAAUUUAUAUCAAUAAGGAAAUAUCACUGACCCAGGAGCAAGAUCUAGAUAAUUUGCAUACAUAGAAAACAGGGGAGGAUGUUCCUGAGAGAGCUGCUCUUGUGCUGAUAGCAUCAAAACUGAAGGGCAUAGCCAUUAUUUCU